rnacentral:lncRNA from 1 species
UUUUAUCUUUUAUAUUACUAUUUUCUCUUCCAAUUACGUUUUUAUUGCACUUUUCUUCUCAAUCUCGCAUCUCUUAUGUUCUUUUUUUCAUCUUCUCUAAUCUCUCAUCUCAUAUGUUUUUUUAUGUUUUAUUAUAAUGUCAUCUUAUGUUCUUUUUUUCAUCUUCUCUAAUCUCUCAUCUCAUAUGUUUUUUUAUGUUUUAUUAUAAUGUCUUUGAUAUUAUUUUAUGCUACUAUUUAUAUUUGUCUUUUAUUCCACUUUUGUCUAAUAUGGUUUUUUGUAUAUUGAAUGAAAUGUUUUUGUCUAAAUAUGAUGAAUUUUGAUGUUAUUUAGUAAUGUAUGAAUGACUAAACACAAAGUUAUAUCGUUAUUUAUAGGAGUAUAUAUGGCUCAAUAAAAAUAUU